rnacentral:tRNA from 3 species
GGGCGGUUAGCUCAGGGGGAGAGCACUACCUUGACACGGUAGGGGUCACAAGUUCAAAUCUUGUACCGCCCACCA